CUUUAUUCUGUCAGGCGUUGACAUGUUUUUCCACAGCUUGCUUUAGGUUAUAUGUUAUAUAUUAAAAGUAUUUAAGGUACUUGGAGAGUUGUAUUAUUAUUAUUUCCUUCCAGUUUUUAGUCCCGAACUUCCAGAAAGGUUGUGAAUGGACUUUACACAGAAAAGAGUUGAACAUUGUGUUGUAUAACGUACAUGGUGGUUUGUUUUUUUGGUUUGGGGACCAGAUCCCUAAAUUGUGAUGCUAGUUAGUUCUAUUUGCCACUGUCCCAAGGUGCUUUUUCCUUGUAAAGCAGCAUUUAUGUAUAGCCUUGAUUACUCAUUGCAGGUCACUCUUAAAUCUUAACGAGGAAACUUCUGUCUAGGAGCUAAAUUUUCUUAGGCCUACAGGUUAAAUAUCAAGAGUUGAAUGUCUGGAGUUGGGAAAAUGAAACCAAACUUCGGUGUUAUUGCCAACACUUCC
rnacentral:lncRNA from 1 species